rnacentral:rRNA from 1 species
CACGUAGGGUGCAAGCGUUGUCCGGAAUUAUUGGGCGUAAAGGGCUCGUAGGCGGUCCGUCACGUCGGGAGUGAAAACUCGGGGCUCAACCCCGAGCCUGCUUUCGAUACGGGCGGACUAGAGGUAGGUAGGGGAGAACGGAAUUCCUGGUGUAGCGGUGAAAUGCGUAGAUAUCAGGAGGAAUACCGAUGGCGAAGGCAGGUCCCUGGGCCAAUACUGACGCUCAUGCACGAAAGCGUGGGGAGCAAACAGG